rnacentral:tRNA from 1 species
GCAUCCUUAGCUCAGUGGAUAGAGCAGAGGAGUUCUAACCCUCUGGUCACUGGUUCGAAUCCAGUAGGAUGCACCA